GCUUGGGCCUACAGUUGGCUGAGGCCUUCCCAGCAGACAGUGGGGUCCCCAGGGGAGGUCUUCAAGAAUCCGGGCCCCUCUGGUUUCCGCCCCCUCCUUGAGCCCAGGACAAAGGUAGCGGGUUUGAGGAGCUCGGACUGUUCUCAGGGCGUCUACAAGGCCAUCAGAGAGCUGGUGCCUCCACUCUCAGGGCCUCGGGCAACUUUUUAUCUGACUUGGCGGCGCUGGAGGGCUGCCACUUUCCACCGCAUUUCCAUUUGGCCUUCGCAAUUGCAAUACCCUGAAGGCACUGCCCACACCCUAGCCUUCCAGCAAUCGGGAUUCAAGCUGGACUUCCCAUAACCAGCAACAGUGUAACGUGAAGACACUCCUAGACUCAGGUUUCCCUCAACCCUUCUCCCGCUUGUCCGCACACGGGGCGGAUCAACGCCCCCCACCCACGGCCCCACCCCCGCGGGCUCCGCAACCCAGGGCCGCAGCUACCGAGUGUGCUUCUCCUCCCUCCCGAGGCUGUUGGCUUUAAACACACUUGCUGCACUCACCCCCACCACACACUCAGUCGUUCUCACCCUUCCUUUCUCCCUGCUGGGCCUCCUCCAAACCGGAUUGCCUAGCCUGAAUGCAGAGUCCAGGCAGCCUCGGCCGAGCUGGGGCCCACUGGCGAAUUGGCGGCGGCAAACACCCCCCUCCUAGCCUAAGUGGAACCUGAAACUCCGGACUUGGUCCGGGUGGGGCACAAAGCUACGUGGAGGGUCUCCCAGUCCACAAGUGGCUCUCCCCACACAGACAAAUGUGCAGUGUCAUUAUGCAGUAGCUGGGAUUACAGGCGCCCGCCACCUUGCCCGGCUAAUUUUUUGUAUUUUUACUAGAGACGGGGUUUCGCCAUGUUGGCCAGGCUGGUCUCGAACUCCUGACCUCACGUGAUCCACCCAUCUCGCCUCCCAAAGUGCUAGGAUUACAAGCGUGAGCCACCGCGCCCAGCCUUCUUAAAAUGUGAUUUGACCCAAUUUAAAGCCUCCCUUUCUUCCCCAUUAACCUCCAGUUUUUGACAGAUUUUCUUAGAACAUUCCAAAGAUUCUCUCAUUACUUCAGAAACUUAUCUCGAAAUGAUGUAAAAGGAGGUUCAAAAUAUUAGGUUGCUUUUGGGUUCCCUUUAUCUCGAACAUUGUUGCGUAGAUUUGAGAAAGGGCUGAUUUCUACUUUGUUUUCUAAUCAGCAAGUCACUGGUUUUUCUACCUAAGAGAGACUGAACAUUAACCACAGUGAAGCAGAAGGGUUGAGCCGCAUUUACAAAGUGCCUUCACAUUUUGGUCCUCAGAAACCCAUCCGAGGGGGACAGAGUAGGUGUUACUGUUCUGAUUUUACACAUGAAGAGACUGGCCACUCGCCCCCACAAAUUUCUGGAAGCUAGUCUUCCUCACUGAACUGGAGCCAGAAGCCAUGUGAAGCCAGCCUGCUCCUGCCUACACCCUCCUUCCUCCAGGUCAAUGUCAUUUAGAAUAUAUUGCAUCCUUUUCUUGGAUCUGUCUGCUAGGACCCGGGCCACCCUCCUGCUGGAGGCAACCCCGACAGCCCAUAUUUUAAGCAGCUCUUUUCACAGCCUGCAAACCUCACGGAUUGUCUCUUACAACUGUCUGUUUACUCACUUCCCUCCACCCAGUCAAUUCCGACUCCAGGCCCGGGAGGACAAUUUUAAAGUGUUUCUGCAGACAGACCCUCUGGCCGCGCCGGAAGUGUUUUAUGGACCUGUGAGCCGAGUUAAUCCCAGGAGGCGCGGCUGGAUUAGUCCCGGGUAUGGGUGGGGGAUUCAUGUGUUUAGGUUUAAUCCCCAUGGGGGGGGGGCGUAAGGAGAAUGGGGGUCGGGUGGCUUCAGCAAUGUGUGCCCCCUCCCCAUUAAACUCCGAGAUUUGCGCUAGAGCGGAUGGAAACCGAGGCACGCAGCCCUCGACCCCGGCCAGGCGUGGAGUAGGGGAGCAGGGGGUGCCCCGCGUGGGCGCACCCUAAGAAACCAGUGCGGACAUGGCGAGCGAGACCAGAGCGCAGUUGUGUGUGGUUUUUCCCCAGGUUUUUAUUCUUCCAGCCCUGUGGAAAGGAGGAGAGCCGCAACCCGGAGAGGGAGCCGGAAAGAAACACUUAAUCACCGGCGUCUCGCUGCUCGUCACGCGAAGAUGGCAGCGGCUCCCCUGGGUUUCAAGGUUCCGGGAAAGGCGUGUGUUCUGCCUUAAGGCGCGCGGGCUGAUGCGCUCUCUCCCUCGGCUCGGCGGCCGGCUCCGGCUCACAGAGCCUCUCUCAACGCCGGCAAGUGCAGCCGGGCCGCCCAGCCCCCAGGCCAGCCUGGCCCCCUCUGGGCCUGGGGUUGGCGAGGGCAGCUGGGCGUCUGCGCUGCCCAGCCCAGCCGCGGAUCCAUGGGGUUUCGCGAGCUGAAAGUAAAGGCUUGAGGGAGUGGGGACACCCACACCGACCCGCGGCACGCAGGGGAGUCAAGCUGCGGCCAAUGCAAGACGAGCAGGGUAGACUACUACUAGCGGUGGCCGGAGGCUCAGCCACCUUCGCGGGAGAGGGGAUUUACCGCCACCCUCAUCCACGCGCAGGCCCCACCGCCCGGUCCUCUCCUCUGAUCCCCGGGCCAUUGCGAAACACGGAGCGAACAGGUCCUCGCCAGCAGCCGUCAUUUCCCGGGAAGAUGGGAACCCACAAGCCUGACUGUGCUUCCUAAGGAUACUAGCGUGCGCGCAGACCUUGGGGGGAAAGAGGGCAGCGCGGUCUCCCCGACCCGGACUCUUCCCUGGCGCAGCACACAACCGCCACGGGCUUCCGAAGCGCCCGAGCGGGGAGGAGGAAGGAAAAGCGGAGGCCCGGGAGGCGGGCUGCGCGCUUGGAAGCCGUGUGUGUUUAUGUGUCUGCGCGCGCGCCCUGGCCGGACGGGUGUUGAGGGGAGAGUGAUCGUGAGCAACCCGGAACCAGCAGUCCCAACCUGGACUGACGAACUGGGCUCUCCAG
rnacentral:lncRNA from 1 species